rnacentral:tRNA from 1 species
GAGGGUAUAGAUCAGUGGUAGAGCGUGUGCUUAGCCUGCACGAGGUCCUGGGUUCAAUCCCCAGUGCCUCCA